UGAGGAAUAUUGGACAAUGGGUGAGAGCCUGAUCCAGCCAUCCCGCGUGAAGGAUGACGGUCCUAUGGAUUGUAAACUUCUUUUGUACAGGGAUAAACCUACUCUCGUGAGGGUAGCUGAAGGUACUGUACGAAUAAGCACCGGCUAACUCCGUGCCAGCAGCCGCGGUAAUACGGAGGGUGCAAGCGUUAUCCGGAUAUAUUGGGUUUAAAGGGUCCGUAGGCGGACUUGUAAGUCAGUGGUGAAAUCUCAUAGCUUAACUAUGAAACUGCCAUUGAUACUGCAGGUCUUGAGUAAAUUUGAAGUGGCUGGAAUAAGUAGUGUAGCGGUGAAAUGCAUAGAUAUUACUUAGAACACCAAUUGCGAAGGCAGGUCACUAAGAUUUAACUGACGCUGAUGGACGAAAGCGUGGGGAGCGAACA
rnacentral:rRNA from 1 species